GUGCCCUAUGCUUGAGUGUAGUGCACAUCCUACAAGAAGACAGAAAUGCCCUGUGCAAAGGGCACUGCAGCACAGAGGUACUGCACACAGGAUGAGGAAAGCAAGGGUCUACUCUGCAAAGCAACUGCACAAAUGCAGUUACUGAUCCUGCUGAUGAGAUGGGAACCUAAGUAAAAUCCAGUGUGUUCCUCUAUGGUUGAAUCAAGAGCAGCAGGAACACAAGACAGGGAACACAGUAAACAAAAACCACUUUAUUUGUAUCUAAUAAACAGUCAUCAGUGCGAACAUGUAUGGAGCCCAGAUCUGGAGAGGUGGAACCUCAAAAGACUUGGGAUUCUUGCUCUGACCUCAAAAGACUUUUGAAAAUGGUUACUUACUUAAACCACUGGAAUGCACAGGAGCAAGUCAUCUCAUGAGGUUCACAGACAGUCCAAAACCAGAAGGUAAGAAAGCUCAGUCAAAACUUUUAGACCACUAAAAGGUGGAGAUUUAAGCUUCAAAAAGAUGUGAGAAAUCUAUUGAUUGGCUCUCCUUUGGCUCAUGCUUGAAAUAGACACCCAGUUCCAGAUUCAGUGAGGCCAAAGCCCCUUGCAUUCUCUGUCAAGGUCCAUCUGAUCUUCUCACCAGGGUCUUGUCUUUCAAAGGGAGAAAGUGCUCUUUUGUAAUACAGUAGCCUCUAAACCUGGCAGAGCCUGGAGGAACUCCAUCACUGAUUUUCUCCACUAUCAUUCACUUAACUUUGCCUCCAUUAGAGCUCAUUACAUUUUUGGCCAGUUUUUCAUGUAUACAAGACAUGAAAAAACACCUCUGACAAUCAUAAGCACAAAGAGCACAGAAUAAUUCACUUUUAAUUCCACUUUCAAAAUAGCUCUCUAAAACCAAAACUCUAAGGAGUUGCAGUGAGAAAAGAGAAACCAUUCUGUAGAAAACAUAAAAAUUGGAAGGAAAAAAAAAAAAAA